GAACGCUGGCGGCAGGCCUAAUACAUGCAAGUCGAACGGCAGCACAGCAGAGCUUGCUCUGUGGGUGGCGAGUGGCGGACGGGUGAGGAAUACGUGGGAAUCUGCCCAGUCGUGGGGAUAACGUAGGGAACUUACGCUAAUACCGCAUGCGCCCUUCGGGGGAAAGCCGGGGACCUUCGGGCCUGGCGCGAUUGGAUGAGCCCACGUCGGAUUAGCUAGUUGGCGGGGUAAAGGCCCACCAAGGCGACGAUCCGUAGCUGGUCUGAGAGGAUGAUCAGCCACACUGGAACUGAGACACGGUCCAGACUCCUACGGGAGGCAGCAGUAGGGAAUAUUGGACAAUGGGCGCAAGCCUGAUCCAGCCAUGCCGCGUGAGUGAAGAAGGCCCUCGGGUUGUAAAGCUCUUUUGUCCGGAAAGAAAAGCGCCGGGUUAAUACCCUGGUGUCCUGACGGUACCGGAAGAAUAAGCACCGGCUAACUUCGUG
rnacentral:rRNA from 1 species